AAGAUGGAAAAGGAGCUGAAUUGGGGAAAGCUGAGGUUUGCACAAGCCAGUCCAGGGAGUGUGGUUCCGGAAUGGGUAAAGCUUCUGGUGUAGUGGAUGUGGACUUUCUGGCCUGGAUCUCCUCUCUCCUCCUCACGUAAGUAACUCUUCUUCAUGCCCCAGGUCUCAGCACCCCCAGGAAACCUGCACUGGCCCCUCUAGCCUACACCAGAUUCCCCCAACCAAGCACCCUCGUAACACCUGGGUUUACCCCUCUCCAACCAAGUCAGAGCCUCUGAACUACUUGGCCUCCUCCUCACCUCCCAAUACACUAGAUGUCUCCUCAAGCACCGGCUGCCUUCUUUACAUUUAUGUAUCAGUGUUGAUCACAAAACCAGAACAAGGUAGGGACUUCUGUGGUCCUGGAAGAGCUAUGGUAACUGUCAUAGACCCAGGAAAGACGCCGUUUACUACGCAGAGGUGCUGCGGUGAGUGACAGGAGACUCAGCAGCAUUGUCACAUCACAGAGCAAACCCUGCCUGCUGGGCUUCCAGGCCAUGUGAAGGUAGAGAUAACCGAUGACCUGCUUGAUUGAGUGUGGAGCCCAUGGGGCUGGUAGGGGUGCCAGGGCUUCAGAUCUCUUCCAGUGUUCUGGGGUCUGCCUGUCCCAGGAGCUGGCAG
rnacentral:lncRNA from 1 species